rnacentral:lncRNA from 1 species
ACUUUGUUUUUUUUUUUAGAUUCAUAUACAUAUUAUUGAUCACUUGUAGAAAUAAUGUUUUGAUAUCCCUUUUUAUAGGAAGUCGAGGGUUUGCCAGCAUUCCCUGUGGGCAAGAUUGAUCGGAUUCGAAUGUGGAAAGUAGGUGAAUGGGUUCAGGCUGUCCGACCCAUGGGUGAUUUAGGACCAUUGUAUCCUUUCAUAGCUGGCAUAGGCCUAUCCGUCACGAUGCAGACGUAGAUACCGUCGUACACCGUAAACGAUCAUAACCAUCACUAUCAUCGACGAAAAGAAGCCUAACAAACUGCCUGAAGAGCCUGUAGAACCAUCUGAGCCUAUUCCCGAAGAAGCAAUUCAGAACCAAAAGUGGCCUUCAAAAGUAUAACUUGCUGGUGGCUGGCUCGAGAUUAUUAUGAAUUAGAAUUAGACCUUUCAGGUUUGAGCUUUGAUAUUUGUUGUUUGAUGUUA